UUAUUAUUUGGCUUGUAAGAUUCUUUUUGUGAAUUCGUGAGUUGAAGCAUAUUUUAUUGUGCCUGGGGAGAGUCAUUCUCUUUUAGGGCCUUACUAUCUAACACACUCUCCGGUU